GAGAAGAAAGAAACCUAGCGCCCGUUUCCAGCUCUCUUCUUAAUGUAAAAAUAUUUCCCUUUCACUGGGGGAUCUGAUUGAGUGCUGUCCACACAAAAGUGUCUGAUUUGUUUUCGGAUCAUACCGGAAGUACCUGGAGAGACUGCUUGUGCUUAAUGAGUUUUUUUUUUUUCAUUUUAAUAUUGUUUAUCAUUAUUUUUCUUAUGUAUUUACUGUUUGGUUGUGCAACUGUUAGCUGUCCUGUCUUGUCUUGUCUUGUACUGUUCUAAUGCGAGAUUAUGUAAUGAGAAGCCUUUCAUCUCACAAGACGUUGCCUUAGACUCUGCCAUAGAUUUUUGCUUGUGGUUAAAGAGGACUGUAACAGAAUAGAUAUAUGUUUGGGAAACAAAUGUUAUAAUCUUGACUGCCUAACCGUAAAGUUCACCAAAAUAUACUUAUCUUUAUGGUUGUGAUAGAGGCGGAAUACAUUGAUAGAUGUGUUAAUUUAGGGUGGAAAACGGAAAUACAUUAAUGGAUACCUAAUAAAGUCUAAACUAGCUUAAUGGGCCGUAACGUUAGACAACAGUGGGCCUGACGUACCAAGCAGUAUGGAAGGGCGUUCGCAACGAGACAGUGGGACCUAUCGUACCAAACAGUAUGGUGUUUAUGUGAAGGGCGUGCGCAAACCUUGCCGUUUACUAGAAGUUUAUUACAGCGUAAAAAGCUUUCUGUUCUCUUCAAGACUUUAAUAAACCCCCAACGAAUCUGCGAAAGCUCCGUCGUCAAUGGCGUCUGCUCUACGUAGAACCGCAAGCCGUCUUCGUCACCGACUUCGCUCCUCAAGCGAUCUACUAUCUCCGCCGUGCAUCUCCGACGCGCUUCGUCAAGGAGUAGAUUCCUCUCUUCCUCGACCGGUUCGACUUAAUGAUGAUGUCUUGAUUUGAUGGUGGCAUUUUGGUAAAUACAGCCGGUUUCGUGGAUGAGCUUCUUCUUGCUGUUUGCUACUGGUGCUGGACUGGUCUACUAUUAUGAUAGGGAAAAGAAACGUCAUAUCCAAGGUACUCAUCUCAUGGUGAGUUUGUUUUUUUUUGUUAGCAAUGUCACAACUUUAUCAUGUAGACUACCGUUACGUGAUAAACACUGUAUAUACUAGGAUGCUAGGAUUUUGAGCGAGCUCUCUCAAUAUCUGAAAUGUAUUAUAAGAAACUCUGCUAAUUGAAUGCAUGGUUUGUAGCUUUAAUAAAACUACUGAUCUUGUUAGUGAUGGAUUUUGAUCGCUUUAAGCACUCAGUAAAUGCUUAGUUUAUCAUCCCACAUUGACUUCCAAUAUUAUUGCUUUUCUCUAUUCUUGUAUGUAUAUUGACCUGGUGUUCUUGAUGGCGUCUUUUAGAUAUAAAUACAAAUUCUAUAGCCGUGAAGGAAGGACCAUCUGCUGGGAAAGCAGCCAUUGGAGGACCAUUCAGUCUUAUAAGAGACGAUGGGAAACGUGUUACGGAGAAAGACCUGUUGGGAAAAUGGACCAUCUUGUACUUUGGGUUCACUCAUUGUCCUGAUAUAUGUCCUGACGAGCUUAUUAAGUUAUCUGCUUCCAUUGACAAAAUCAGUGAGUUGUCUUCACUUUUUUUUUUUUUCAUUUUGUGUGGGUAUAGUUUUCGCUAAGGCUGUAUCCCAUUUUUUACACAGAGGAAAAGUCUGGAGUAGAUGUGGUUCCAGUGUUUAUCUCUGUGGAUCCUGAAAGAGACACAGUUGAGCAAGUACAUGAAUAUGUCAAAGGUAGUAGAUUAUCUUCUUAACUCGGUAAAGAUGAUUUUGUUUCUUGAAAUGAAAAUUCAUAUGCUUUAUUGUAGAAUUUCAUCCGAAGCUGGUUGGAUUAACCGGGAGCCCUGAAGAAAUCAAAUCGGUGGCCCGUUCUUACAGGGUGUACUACAUGAAGACAGAAGAGGAAGAUUCAGACUAUCUCGUUGAUCACUCUAUAGUCAUGUACGUGUCUACUUAUUAUCCCUUUUACAGAGUAUUUGUUAGGAAGCUUGAUUGUUUCUUCUUGCGUUGUAGUGUUUUAAUAUUGUGUUUGUGUGGAAUAUAGGUACUUGAUGAGUCCGGAGAUGAGUUUUGUGAAAUUUUACGGGAAGAAUCAUGAUGUUGACUCGUUGACCGACGGCGUUGUAAAAGAGAUUCGACAGUACCGCAAGUGAAGAGUCUUCGAAGCACACACUCAAGGGGAAAACAAAGUGAUUAGUUGCCAUAUUGGAUUUGUUGGUGAUCAUUAAUACAAGAAUUUCUCAUUACACGAAAAUGUGUUUCAAAUCCCACGACAAUAUAAUUAAGCGAUCUAAUAAAAAUUGAUAUAUCCACCAACUAUUCCUGACACGGAUUGGGUAUCCGGACAAUUUUAAGGUAUCCGGAUCUUUAUUCGGAUGAUCCAUAAUUUUACUAUCUUUAUCCGGAUCCGAGUUUCUCAAAUAUCUGGGCGUCGGACAUCUUUCUAAAAAUUGUAAUAUCCAGCGGAUAUCCGGAUUCAGAUAUAGAUCCUUAAAAUAAAUAAAUAAAUAAUAUUAAUAUAUAUAAAAUAUUAACAAUAAUUAAUAAAUAAAAAUAUAUAUAAUGUUUUUAAUUAUUUCUAUGUAUAAUAUUACAAAAUUGACAUAAAAUAUAUAUAUACUAUUAUAAAAAUGAAAAUAUAUUAAUAAAAUUAGUUUAUAUAUAUAUAUAUAUCAAGGUGGUGCUAAGGGCAGGGCAUGGAGGAAAAAUGUUAAAGCAGUUGAAAAGGUACAUACUUGGUAUCUUCUCUCAGUUUUGUUUCAUAAUUAAAAUUGGAAAAUCUACCUGAAUUUUGAGUUCUUAAUGUCUCCUUGAUCCUGUAAUUGAAUGUGGUUAACCUGCAGGAGUUGCUCCAAUUGGAGGAAGAUGUGAACCUCUUAGAAGAAGCGUAUCCACAAGGAGAGAAGGUAAGACGAGUGUCUCCUAGUAACUAUAUCUACAUUCUUUGUGUUAUUCAACUAUUCUAUGGCCUUUUUUUCUUUUCAGGCAGAAACUGCUUGGGCUUUCACUGUACUAGGAUACUUGGCCAAGUUUAUUCUUGGAAUCAUAGGGUUAGUAUUUUAUUUUAAAAUAAUCUUCUUCACAGUUUUUUUUCUGGUGUUAUGGCCUUAGUUUACUGGCUUGAUUUUAUAUAAGCAUUCAUAGAGGUCUUUUUAAUGUCUUUGUAGAUUGAUCGUUUCUAUUGCUUGGGUUGCACACAUCAUCAUAUAUCUACUUGUAGACCCUCCUCUUUCCCCUUUUCUUAACGAGGUUUUUAUUAAGCUUGAUGACGUUUGGGGUAAGCUCUUACUUACUGUUCUUUCUAUAUAUUAAGUUUCCUAAUGUCUCUGCCUGACUCUAUGUAUGUAUGUGCGGGAUUCUAUAGGUCUUCUUGGCACUGCUGCAUUUGCUUUCUUCUGUUUCUACCUUCUACUUGCUGUCAUCGCUGGGGCAAUGAUGCUGGGUUUGAAGCUGGUCUUCAUCACCAUUCAUCCGAUGAAGUAAACCACAUCUAUUGAUUCUAAAAGUGUUUGGCUAUUUUCCAAUUAUCUUUAAUUUCUAAUUGGGCCAUAUGAACUUUGUUUUCAGAUGGGGAGCUACUCUAAUGAACUCUUUCCUAUUCAAUGUUGGGCUCAUUCUUCUUUGUUCCAUCAGGUAGGCUACACCAAGUCUGUUUGUGUAAUAUCCAGCUGCUACGUACACUAUUGCAUAUUUUAACCAUGAGUCCAUGACAAGCAAAGUAACUGAUGCUUCUUUUAAAAUUGCAGUGUGAUUCAGUUCUGUGCCACUGCAUUUGGAUACUACGCUCAAGCCACUGCUGCUCAGGAGAUCUUUGGCCACACAUUGCAGUCACUUAGAGGAAUCAAGUACCUCUACAAGUAAGUAGUAACGGUUUAGGCGUUUAGCAGAUAGCAGAUAGCAGUCUUUGAAACUUUAUCUGUCUUUUGUCUUAUUGAGAGAGGUCGAUGUGGUAUAUAUAUAUCUCAGGUACAACGUGUUCCAAAUCGGGUUUGUUAUCCUGGCUGGAUUGACCUUCCUAUAUUACAUUGCCUUCGUAAGCCCUAUUUCAUCAUUCAUGUUACCUCCCCAGUUUUGUCUUGUGUAUAAAUGUUAUGAAUAAUAUGUUGUUUCUUGUGUUUCUGGUAGGGAUGGAGAAGAAAGAAACCUAGCGCCCGUUUCCAGCUCUCUUCUUAAUGUAAAAAUAUUUCCCUUUCACUGGGGGAUCUGAUUGAGUGCUGUCCACACAAAAGUGUCUGAUUUGUUUUCGGAUCAUACCGGAAGUACCUGGAGAGACUGCUUGUGCUUAAUGAGUUUUUUUUUUUUCAUUUUAAUAUUGUUUAUCAUUAUUUUUCUUAUGUAUUUACUGUUUGGUUGUGCAACUGUUAGCUGUCCUGUCUUGUCUUGUCU
rnacentral:lncRNA from 1 species